rnacentral:sRNA from 1 species
AUCACCAGGGCAGGCCUCCCUUGCCAGGACCUAGAGUUUGUUCAGUUCCACCCCACAGGCAUAUAUGGUGCUGGUUGUCUCAUUACGGAAGGAUGUCGUGGAGAGGGAGGCAUUCUCAUUAACAGUCAAGGUGAAAGGUUUAUGGAGCGAUACGCCCCCGUCGCGAAGGACCUGGCGUCUAGAGAUGUGGUGUCUCGUUCGAUGACUCUGGAGAUCCGAGAAGGAAGGUGCGUGUGAUUUACCACCAGCACUGUCUGAGCGGGAACACGGGCCGGGAUUGCUUCUGUGAGUUUCAGCACUGCUCGCCCUCACCUUCGUGUGCAGGCACACGUGUACAGCCACCUCUCUCAGCUGCGGGCAGGCGUCUGUUAGUCUGUGAUAUUUUUCUAAAGACCUACAUUUUGAAAAUUUUAGCCAGUUUCUUUCUCAAAUCUGUGGAACAGAGUUUCUCUUAGUGUGUGUGAGUAUGUGACGGAGUAUGGGAGAGAGAGACACACACCCAACCUGAAGUCGGCACGUGAGCCUUGGGUGUUGUGUCUGAUACCCACAGAUGUUUUUCAGCAGCUUUCAAAGUGUGUGGGUUAUUUGGCUUUCAGCAAAACAAUUUACAGCUCUUUCAUUGCCUCACCCUAUUCUUUAAUGUAAUGACACUUGCUAAAUAUCUGCUGGUAUGGCCUUUAGAGGUUUUACAUUUUUAUAUUUAAAAAAACAGAAGUCAGGUGUGAGCCACCACGCCUGGCCUACUUCCCUCUCUUUCUCUGACCUGCAGCACAGACACCCUGUUGAGGGAGGUGGACUUAUGGAGGCAUGGGCACCUUGACAUUUCACCUGAAAUCUUCCUUUCCACAGGUCCUGAGGCACGUGAAUGGCCAGGAUCAGAUUGUGCCCGGCCUGUACGCCUGUGGGGAGGCCGCCUGUGCCUCGGUACAUGGUGCCAA